CCCUUAGAUGUUCUGGGCCGCACGCGCGCUACACUGAUGCACUCAACGAGUCUCCACCUUGACCGAAAGGUCCGGGAAACCUUCGAACUUGCAUCGUGAUGGGGAUAGAUUAUUGCAACUAUUAAUCUUCAACGAGGAAUACCUAGUAGGCGCAUGUCAUCAGCGUGCGUCGAUUACGUCCCUGCCCUUUGUACACACCGCCCGUCGCACCUACCGAUUGAAUGGUCCGGUGAAAUCUCGGGACGGCGGCUCGGUCGCUUGCGUCCGACUGCUGAAACUUGAUUAAACCAUAUCAUUUAGAGGAAGGUGAAGUCGUAACA
rnacentral:rRNA from 1 species